rnacentral:rRNA from 1 species
CAGCAGCCGCGGGAACACGAAGGGUGCAAGCGUUACUCGGAAUUACUGGGCGUAAAGCGUGCGUAGGUGGUGGUUUAAGUCCGUUGUGAAAGCCAUGGGCUCAACCUGGGAAUUGCAGUGGAUACUGGGUCACUAGAGUGUGGUAGAGGAUAGUGGAAUUUCCGGUGUAGCAGUGAAGUGCGUAGAGAUCGGAAGGAACAUCUGUGGCGAAGGCGACUAUCUGGGCCAACACUGACACUGAGGCACGAAAGCGUGGGGAGCAAACAGGAUUAGAUACCCCGGUAGUCCCUGUCUCUUAUAU